rnacentral:lncRNA from 1 species
UGUGUCACCUUUAUUAAAGAGUGUUUUGCACUUCCAAUGUAGGACUUUUCGAUGCAGAUCCUAUAUAUAAGUCCCAAAAACUCCCGUUAGGUCUUGUAAUAUUGAAUCUUAAAUAGUAUAUUUAUGGUGUUCCUCUUAAUUAUACUGGUGCGAAAUCAAUCCCAUUCUCUUAGGAAUGUUUCUUAUCAAAAUGGAUUCGACCCAAAGAUAGGGAACAAACUUAAGCCCAAUUGAAGCCCAUUUUGCUCUUGUUCUUGGGGCAAAUGACCCAAUUUGUCCUUUUAUACUGUCUCAUCAUGUCAUGGCACACAAACAAAAAUUAUGGUGGAAAGGUAACUACUUUUUUAUUUUUAAUUAGAGGCUUCUGAUUCGAGUCUCGCUGAGUAUGGAGUCACAUUUUUUCAGGAAAUGCUUUAAUCCAAUGUGGAUCUUCCUGACACAAAUUAUUGUAUCCAUAUCUUUGUUUUACGCAGACAGUCUGAUUGUACCGGACUAAAAUGAUAAGGAUGAUUAAUAUUCUUUUGGGGGAAUAGAGAAUCCAAAGCGAAAAGGUGACAAUCGACCACUAAUAAAGUGUUCGAUCCCUUUCUGAUUUUCCUCAAACUAGCAGUAGAUAGUGGCUCUCUCUAUAUAUGAUCCUUAUUAAUUGCUUAAUUGCUGCUAAAUUAUGUUUUUUUUUAGAGGCACUUAUUACUGAUAACUGCAUUUUACAACUCUUUGCAAAUGUUCCUAAAAUUUAUAGCGACAUUAGAUCCAAUGACAAUUAACUAAUGCCGAUAAAAAUUUUAACGCUCUUUAUUUAGAUAUAAAUUUAUUGCCGCUAAAAGCUUUUUCCUAAUAAUAGUGACUAGUCCAGAAAUAUUGCAUUAAUAAAAGUAUAGCAAAGUUCAAAAAUAAUACCUUUGCAUUAACCUCUAAAUAGAAGUUAAUUUUAUCGAUAUUACUAGAUUUUAUACGCUUGUUGCUAAAAAGUAACUAAUGCAAUAAGAUCGUUAUAAACCAUUUUAUAACUAAAGCG